GAACUGAAGAGUUUGAUCAUGGCUCAGAUUGAACGCUGGCGGCAGGCCUAACACAUGCAAGUCGAGCGGAUGAAGGGAGCUUGCUCCUGGAUUCAGCGGCGGACGGGUGAGUAA
rnacentral:rRNA from 1 species